AUGAACGCUGGCGGCGUGCCUCAUACAUGCACGUCGAGCGAACAGACGAGGAGCUUGCUCCUCUGACGUUAGCGGCGGACGGGUGAGUAACACGUGGAUAACCUACCUAUAAGACUGGGAUAACUUCGGGAAACCGGAGCUAAUACCGGAUAAUAUAUUGAACCGCAUGGUUCAAUAGUGAAAGACGGUUUUGCUGUCACUUAUAGAUGGAUCCGCGCCGCAUUAGCUAGUUGGUAAGGUAACGGCUUACCAAGGCGACGAUGCGUAGCCGACCUGAGAGGGUGAUCGCCCACACGGGAACGGAGACCCGGUCAAGACUCCUACGGGAGGCAGCAGUAGGGAAUCUUCCGCAAUGGGCGAAAGCCUGACGGAGCAACGCCGCGUGAGUGAUGAAGGUCUUCGGAUCGUAAAACUCUGUUAUUAGGGAAGAACAAAUGUGUAAGUAACUAUGCACGUCUUGACGGUACCUAAUCAGAAAGCCACGGCUAACUAC
rnacentral:rRNA from 1 species